rnacentral:rRNA from 1 species
ACGCACGCUGGCGGCGUGCUUAACACAUGCAAGUCGAACGGAAAGGCCCUGCUUGCAGGGUCCUCGAGUGGCGAACGGGUGAGUAACACGUGGGUGAUCUGCCCUGCACUUCGGGAUAAGCCUGGGAAACUGGGUCUAAUACCGGAUAGGAGCCAUUUUUAGUGUGAUGGUUGGAAAGUUUUUUCGGUGUAGGAUGAGCUCGCGGCCUAUCAGCUUGUUGGUGGGGUAAUGGCCUACCAAGGCGGCGACGGGUAGCCGGCCUGAGAGGGUGGACGGCCACAUUGGGACUGAGAUACGGCCCAGACUCCUACGGGAGGCAGCAGUGGGGAAUAUUGCACAAUGGGCGCAAGCCUGAUGCAGCGACGCCGCGUGGGGGAUGACGGCCUUCGGGUUGUAAACUCCUUUCGCUAGGGACGAAGCUUUUUGUGACGGUACCUAGAUAAGAAGCACCGGCUAACUACGUG